rnacentral:rRNA from 1 species
UACGUAGGGGGCUAGCGUUGUCCGGAAUCAUUGGGCGUAAAGAGCGUGUAGGCGGCCCGGUAAGUCCGCUGUGAAAGUCGGGGGCUCAACCCUCGAAUGCCGGUGGAUACUGUCGGGCUAGAGUGCGGAAGAGGCGAGUGGAAUUCCUGGUGUAGCGGUGAAAAUGCGCAGAUAUCAGGAGGAACACCGGUGGCGAAGGCGGU